AACGAACGCUGGCGGCAUGCCUAACACAUGCAAGUCGAACGAGACCUUCGGGUCUAGUGGCGCACGGGUGCGUAACGCGUGGGAACCUGCCCUUAGGUUCGGAAUAACUCCCCGAAAGGGGUGCUAAUACCGGAUAAUGUCUUCGGACCAAAGAUUUAUCGCCUUUGGAUGGGCCCGCGUUGGAUUAGCUAGUUGGUAGGGUAAAAGCCUACCAAGGCGACGAUCCAUAGCUGGUCUGAGAGGAUGAUCAGCCACACUGGGACUGAGACACGGCCCAGACUCCUACGGGAGGCAGCAGUGGGGAAUAUUGGAAAGUGGGCGGAAGCCUGAUCCAGCAAUGCCGGGUGAGUGAUGAAGGCCUUAGGGUUGUAAAGCUCUUUUACCCGGGAUGAUAAUGACAGUACCGGGAGAAUAAGCUCCGGCUAACUCCGUG
rnacentral:rRNA from 1 species